UACGGAGGGGGUUAGCGUAGUUCGGAAUUACUGGGCGUAAAGCGCACGUAGGCGGACAAUUAAGUCAGGGGUGAAAUCCCGGGGCUCAACCCCGGAACUGCCCUUGAUACUGGUAGUCUUGAGUUCGAGAGAGGUGAAUGGAAUUCCGAGUGUAGAGGUGAAAUUCGUAGAUAUUCGGAGGAACACCAGUGGCGAAGGCGGCUCACUGGCUCUAUACUGACGCUUAGGUGCGAAAGCGUGGGGAGCAAACAGG
rnacentral:misc_RNA from 1 species